rnacentral:lncRNA from 1 species
GUUUGAGCUCAAAUCAUGCAAAAUAAAAAAGAGAAAAUUUCUGUGCCCCUGAAACAGAGAGCCACACCUGGAUCAAGGGACAUCACAUUGAGGACACCUUUGACAUGCAUUGUGUCCCUCCCCUUCUUGACCCAGAGCUGCUGAAACUGACAAGAGAAGUCUUGGCCAGCCAAGAGCCCCAGGACCAAAUGAGCCUCAGAACUGCAAGAGAUAGAAUCACAAAAGAAAAAUAACCUGGUGAAUGGGAGUUUGGGCUCAUUGGAAGAAAUCGCGUGUGAAAUGACUCAAGUCGGAAGGCCUGAGAUGAAGCUGCAGAGUCUGAUGUGACCCAAGCACUCACACUCAAAGGCAUCUCUGGAGUCCCCAUGGCUGCCUUGCACAGCUGAGUCCCUGCCUCAGCUCUGUCACAGCAUCUAAAUUAUGAGGCAGUGUACACAAACCGUUCAAAAGCACAAAUAAACUGUUAUUGCUGGAAUUCAAGGCAGGGACCAAAAGAGAUAUGAGGUUUAUGGGGAACAUGGACAAGCAAGGGAAUCCAGAGGCCUGUGCUGCAGACAGUGCAUUUGCCCAGCCAAACCGUGGCCAAGCAUCCCUGGGGUGGAGCCAAGCGGAACUGUGGGACAGCUGUGAUUUGUCUUUGAUGCCCAUCUAUCUCUCUGUCAGCAUUUACUGCACCCACUUCAUGUACUAGGCCCUCAGGGUCCUUAUCCAGUUUCCUUUCUGAGCCUGCCUUCUUCCUAAGCAAGAACCGAAGCCCAGAAGAUUCUCCCCUUCUCUGUCAAAACUUACCUCCUGAGCUGUGUUUCUCCCAGGACCUUGUUCUCUGACAGCAAGUUUUUCAGAUCAAUUAACCUCUCGUAACAGGUGAUAAUGAAGAUAACUUUCUCAAGUUAAAGAUUUGCAUAUUAACAAACUCAAUGCCUUGACCAAAAACUGUGGCUUGGCCGGGGGCAGUGGCUCACGCCUGUAAUCCCAGCACUUUGGGAGGCUGAGGCAGGCAGAUCACUUGAGGACAGGAGUUCGAGACCAGCCUGGCCAACUUGACGAGGCCCCCAUCUCUACCAAAAUACAAAAAUUAGCUGGGUGUUGGUGACACACGCCUGUAAUGCCAGCUACUCAUGAGGCUAAGGCAUGAGAAUCACUUGAGCCCAGGAGGUGGAGGUUGCAGUGAGCCAAGAUCUCACUCCAACUUGGGGGACAGAGCAAGACUCCAUCUCAAUAAAUAAUAAAUAAAUAAAAAUAAAAAACUGUGGCUCAACUGCUCAAAAUAUUGCAAGGACCCACUUAAACUAAGAGGAGAGAAAACUGCCACAGUUGCCUACUAUAACCAAAACCCAUAGGUUAGGCAUGAAGCUGGGUCACACUUUUGUCACCUGAACAUUACUGAGUCCCAUCUCCUCUUGAUAACUAAAGAACAGCAAAACUUCAUGGAAUCUUGAAAUUAAAGCUUCAUAAGCUAGGUGGGGGUGGGGGUGGGGGUAGAGGCAGUUCAGAAGUGAUGACCAGGAAAGCUAUGAAGCUAUCCUAUUUGCUGUAAUCCAACUCCUGUCUUCCAAGUUACAUUUCUACUUGGAGAGCAUGGAAACUCUCCCCAGACUCAAAUCUAGCUCAGGACUGGGGGAGAUGGCCGGCAGGGCAAGGCAUACAUGGCCACUUCAAGCCUCCCAAGCCAGAAAGGAGUAGGAAUUUGGCCAAUGGGUUUCAGUGCUGUUUACAUAAUCUGAAACUCUUCUUUAUAAUAUAUGCACAUCUAUAUAUUUUUCUUUUUUUCUUUUGGUUCUGGAAAAAUGAGUGUCCUAUGUCUUUUGGUGGUUAAAUUGAUGAGGAAAUGAAAUUUCUUUGUAAUACUUAGAAGUUAGAGUAUAAAGUUAAAAAGAAAAAAUCAGAAGACUCAUCUUUGAUUCAAUAAGAUCUCACCUGGCACAGUGGUUGUAUAAAGUACACUGAGGCAUGUUUGCCAGCUAAGAGAAAGAAGCCAGAGAGAGGGGGAGGGAGGGAGGGAUGCAUGGACGGACGGUUGGAUGGAUGAUUAAAUAACAAUGAAGGUAAAAAUAGACUCCACAUCCUCAGUGGACUACAUAAGAUGUGAAGAAAGGAUGAGAAGACAGAAUAGAAUAUGUCCUCCUGCCAGCAAGGCAAAUGUUUUUCUGGUUUAUUUGUUUUGGUUUUUGUUUUUUGAGACAGGGUUUCACUCUGUUGCCCAGGCUGGAAUGCAACGGCACCACGACAGGUCACUGCUGCCUCAACCUCCUGGGCUCAAGUCGUCCUCCCACCUCAGCCUUCUGAGUUGCUGGGACUACAGGCAUGCACCACUGCACCCAACUAAAUUUUUUUUUUAUUUUCUGUAAGGACAAAGUUUUGUCGUGUUUCCCAGGAUGGUCUCAAACUCCUUAGCUCAAGUGACCCACCUACCACAGCCUCCCAAAGUGCUGGGAUUACAGCCAUGAGCUACCAUGACUGGCCUGCAAAUUCAUUUUGAAUAUCAAAAUUCAAGGAUCCCGCAAAGUCUUUCUCACCCUGAAUGAAAUCCUACCACAGCAACAUUGCUAAAAAAAAAAACUAAGAACUAGUUUGAUUACCUUAGUAUGGUUUCCUUAUUCUCCUUUCACAUCUUUAGACUACAUAACAAUUUUUCCAUGACCAUUAGUAAAAAUCAAACAGUUUAUUCCUUUUGACAGCAGAAGACAAAGGCUGAGGCACAUGUAAGAAGUAGCAGAGAAUGAGAGGGAAGAGUAGCCAUGGGCGAUGGAUCAGUGGGAAAGAGAAGGAAAGUAGAAAUAAACACCUCUCUCAUCUGCCUAAGGACUUGAGGUCCCUAAGACACACCACAACUCCAUAGGCGAGCUGAUCAGGACCCAGGUCUCCUAAACCUACGCAGCAAUUUGCAAUACACAACGCUAAAUUAUGCUGAAGUGUGUGUGGGUGAAAAGAAAAUUUCCCUGACUGCAUUCCUACGUGUUCUCUCUCCCACUGUUUCUGUACCCACUCUAUCCAAAGAGCAUCAGUAGAAUGUGGAAGCACAAAGUGGAAAUGAGAAAAAUUACUUUAAAGACUUAUCGAUAAGUACUGAGCUUAAAAUGUUCGAAACAGAAUUGAGUGCUACCCACUUCCACCAAAGUUCUUGAUAAUUUCUUAUGUUCUAGGUCUACCCUACAAAAUAUGGUGCCCCAUUAAGUCCCGUAUUCAUAGGGGUUCCAAGAUUGCUACUUGUAAUGUCUGUUUUAGAGUAUCUGAAUAAAUAAUUUCUUCUCCAUUUCUCACGCUUAGCAGGUUGAACAUCUUACUACUAAAUGAGAGAAUCAGCUCAGUGACCAAACUUUACCAGCAGAACCCAGACUUAUUUUCAGUAGGGAAGCCUGAGUUUGCCUUACUAGAGUGUCACCUAGUGUCUAUAUAUGGAACUGCACACAAUUUUUUGUUAACGAGUUAAGAACGCAUGUCAUUGUGUGGCGCGGAAGAGCCUUCCUUUAUGAAGUGCUAAAGUACAUAUGUAGACAUUUUUCCAAAUCCAAUUAUAGUUCCAUUGAUUUAUAUUAGUAUUUUAAAUAUGCAUUCACAUUGAAAUGAUCUGAGACGUUAUAAAGUUGGCACUUCAAAAUUCAGCA